UCAGACGAUGCGUCAUGCAUAUCAAUAAGCGGAGGAAAAGAAACUAACAAGGAUUCCCUUAGUAACGGCGAGUGAAGCGGGAAGAGCUCAAAUUUGAAAUCUUCAAGGAUUUACCUUGACGAAUUGUAGUUUAAAGAAGUGUUUUCUGCUGACGAUCGGUAAUAUAAGUUCUUUGGAAUAGGACAUCACAGAGGGUGAGAAUCCCGUCUAUGAUUGCGAUUUGUAGCUUUGUGAUACACUUUCAAAGAGUCGGGUUGUUUGGGAAUGCAGCCCAAAACGGGAGGUAAAUUUCUUCUAAGGCUAAAUAUUGGCGAGAGACCGAUAGCGAACAAGUACCGUGAGGGAAAGAUGAAAAGAACUUUGAAAAGAGAGUUAAAUAGUACGUGAAAUUGUCAAAAGGGAAGCGUUUAACACCAGUGUUGUUUUCUGAAAAUCAACCUCUGUUAGCUUUAUGCAUGUUUGUUUAGACCUAAUCAGCUAUCUUGCAUGUUCUAUUGUUUGCAGUGGUGCACUUUUCAGUUUACAGGUCAACAUCAGUUUUUUUUACCGUAAAAAAGUUAAAGAAAGGUAGCUCAUGGCUCCGGUCGUGAGUGUUAUAGUCUUUUUCCUAUGCGGUAGGAGAGACUGAGGUCUGCAGUGUAGGCUAUUUGGCUAGAUACUCAGGUGCUAUGUGAUACCAUUUCAUAAACAACUUGUUGAUUAUGUUUUGUCUAUUGCAUACUCGCUUGUACUAUCAUACCUACGCUUAGGAUGUUGACUGAUAUGUAGUCGUA
rnacentral:rRNA from 1 species